rnacentral:sRNA from 1 species
AUGACAGUCCUGGAGAUCCCUCUGUUCUUACUGGGCACAUAUGGCCUAGACACUGGCAGCACCUGCUUCCCCAUUACUCCCAGCCACCUCUAGGGCUGAGAAGGGAGCUUGGUUUCCAUGGGCCAUUCAGUCCUUGGCCUCU